rnacentral:rRNA from 1 species
AGAACGAACGCUGGCGGCAGGCUUAACACAUGCAAGUCGAGCGCCCCGCAAGGGGAGCGGCAGACGGGUGAGUAACGCGUGGGAACAUACCCUCCGGUUCGGAAUAGCUCAGGGAAACUUGGAUUAAUACCGGAUACGGCCUAGCGGCGAAAGAUUCAUCGCCGGAGGAUUGGCCCGCGUCUGAUUAGCUAGUUGGUGGGGUAAUGGCCCACCAAGGCGACGAUCAGUAGCUGGUCUGAGAGGAUGAUCAGCCACAUUGGGACUGAGACACGGCCCAAACUCCUACGGGAGGCAGCAGUGGGGAAUAUUGGACAAUGGGCGCAAGCCUGAUCCAGCCAUGCCGCGUGAGUGAUGACGGCCUUAGGGUUGUAAAGCUCUUUCGCUAGGGACGAUAAUGACGGUACCUAGACAAGAAAGCCCCGGCUAACUUCGUGCCAGCAGCCGC